rnacentral:rRNA from 1 species
UACGGGAGGCAGCAGUGGGGAAUAUUGCACAAUGGGCGCAAGCCUGAUGCAGCCAUGCCGCGUGUAUGAAGAAGGCCUUCGGGUUGUAAAGUACUUUCAGUCGUGAGGAAGGUGUUAAGGUUAAUAACCUUAGCAAUUGACGUUAGCGACAGAAGAAGCACCGGCUAACUCCGUGCCAGCAGCCGCGGUAAUACGGAGGGUGCGAGCGUUAAUCGGAAUUACUGGGCGUAAAGGGCACGCAGGCGGUUAAUUAAGUUGGAUGUGAAAUCCCCGGGCUUAACCUGGGAAUGGCAUUCAAGACUGGUUAGCUAGAGUCUUGUAGAGGGGGUAGAAUUCCAUGUGUAGCGGUGAAAUGCGUAGAGAUGUGGAGGAAUACCGGGUGGCGAAGGCGGCCCCUGGGACAAAGACUGACGCUCAUGUGCGAAAGCUGGGGAGCAAACAGGAUUAGAUAC